GACGAACGCUGGCGGCGUGCUUAACACAUGCAAGUCGAACGGAAAGGCCCCUUUGGGGGUCCUCGAGUGGCGAACGGGUGCGUAACACGUGAGUAACCUGCACUUGACUUCGGGAUAACUUCAGGAAACUGGGGCUAAUACCGGAUAGGAAUCCUUGCUGCAUGGUGGGGGUUGGAAAGCUUCGGCGGUUUUGGAUGGACUCGCGGCUUAUCAGCUUGUUGGUGGGGUAGUGGCUUACCAAGGCUUUGACGGGUAGCCGGCCUGAGAGGGCGACCGGCCACAUUGGGACUGAGAGACGGCCCAGACUCCUACGGGAGGCAGCAGUGGGGAAUAUUGCACGAUGGGCGGAAGCCUGAUGCAGCAACGCCGCGUGCGGGAUGACGGCCUUCGGGUUGUAAACCGCUUUCAGCAGGGGCGAAGCUUGUGGUGACGGUACCUGCAGAAGAAGCACCGGCUAACUACGUG
rnacentral:rRNA from 1 species